GUUGGCACGAGUCAAGGAAGCAAAUGAUGAAUGAAUUUGGUGGGUUGAAGAGAUCCUACUACAUGGAUCCCCAACCGAUGAAAAAUCUAGAAUGGCAUCUUUACGAGUAUGAGAUCAACAAGUAUGAUGCAUGUGCCUUGUACAGAUUGGAACUGAAACUUGUUGAUGGGAAAAAGAUCCCCAAAGGUAAGAUAAGCAAUGUAUCAGUUGCUGAUCUGCAAAAGCAAAUGGGAAGACUAACUGCUGAAUUUCCUUUGGACAACAAACGAACUGUGAAAGGCAGAGUGAAGGCCAAUAUGAAGAAUAUGGGAAACAUUCAUGCUGCUCCGGUUCCAAUUGUUCCGAUUGGUGAAGGAUUUGAUUAUGGGAAUACCGACCCUUAUGACUAUCUUCUAGACGAUCUGGAUGGCUACUUCAUAACGUAAUUCUAUACAUUCGAUGAUACUCCUUUCAAAUUCACCUUUGUAUUAUACAGCAGUUUCGUCUUGAGACUCAAAAACAUCUGGUGGUAGAAGUGUUACCCUGGCUCUGUUUAUUCAUCAGUCGGGGUCAACCAGAUGUUUCCCAUUUCCGCGGGCUUAUGGUCAAUGCUUCAUUGUCAUGUGAGACGCGGUCCUAUCUAACUGUGGAGCACACUUAACUGUACUUGUUCCCAAUCUACAUACUUAAGAACCAGAUUGACACUAAAUGUAUUUAUGUUGUAGUGUCGAAUUUGGUGACCAAAUGUUAUGGUCAUUUUCUUCAACAUCUGCUGCUUUCUAUGUGUAAUGGGGUUCCAUUACCAUGAUUUAAUA
rnacentral:misc_RNA from 1 species